CAUAUAAUAACUAAAGGUCUGGUCCUAGCCUUCCUAUUUUCUGUCAGUAGAAUUACACAUGCAAGUAUCAGCUAUCCAGUGAGAAUGCCCUCUAACCCUUAUUUAAGGUAUAAAGGAGCGGAUAUCAAGUACACAUAAAUGUUGCUUAUAACAUCUUGCUAAACCACGCCCCCACAGGAAACAGCAGUGAUAAAUCUUGAGCUAUAAACGAAAGUUUGACUAAGUCAUACUAAAACUUAGGGUUGGUAAAUCUCGUGACAUCCACCGCGGUCAUACGAUUAACCCAUGUAAAUAGGCAAUCSGCGUAAAGAGCGUUUAAGAUGUAAAAAGCUUAAAUUAUAUAUUAAAAAUCAACUAUAAAAGUGUUUUCAUAAAAUCUUAUUACACGUGAGCUAAGACCCAAACUAGGAUUAGAUACCCUAUUAUGCUUAGCCCUAAACUUAGUUACUUAACAAAACUAUUCGCCAGAGAACUAUGAGCCACAGCUUAAAACUCAAAGGACUUGGCGGUGCUUUAUACCCCCUAGAGGAGCCUGUUCUAUAAUCGAUAAACCCCGAUCAACCUCACCAAUCUUUGCUAAUUCAGCCUUUAUACCGCCAUCUUCAGCGAACCCUAAAAAGGAAUAAAAGUAAGCACAAUGAUUUAAAACAUAAAUAAGUUAGGUCAAGGUGCAGCCUAUAGAUUGGGAUGAAAUGGGCUACAUUCUUUUUUUUUUGAAAAGUAUAACGGAAAUUAUUAUGAAACUAAAAAUUGAAGGAGGAUUUAGCAGUAAAUUAAGAGUAGAGUGCUUAAUUGAAUUUGGCAAUGAAGCAUGCACACACCGCCCGUCACCCUCUUCAAGUAUAUCAAGUCAUCCACCUAUAUAAUUAAUGUUAUAAUGAUAAUUAUAUGCAAGAAGAGAUAAGUCGUAACAAGGUAAGUAUACUGGAAAGUGUACUUGGAUUAU
rnacentral:ncRNA from 1 species